GCGUAAUGAUGGCCAGGCUGUCUCCACCCGAGACUCAGUGAAAUUGAACUCGCUGUGAAGAUGCAGUGUACCCGCGGCAAGACGGAAAGACCCCGUGAACCUUUACUAUAGCUUGACACUGAACAUUGAGCCUUGAUGUGUAGGAUAGGUGGGAGGCUUUGAAGUGUGGACGCCAGUCUGCAUGGAGCCGACCUUGAAAUACCACCCUUUAAUGUUUGAUGUUCUAACGUUGACCCGUGAUCCGGGUUGCGGACAGUGUCUGGUGGGUAGUUUGACUGGGGCGGUCUCCUCCUAAAGAGUAACGGAGGAGCACGAAGGUUGGCUAAUCCUGGUCGGACAUCAGGAGGUUAGUGCAAUGGCAUAAGCCAGCUUGACUGCGAGCGUGACGGCGCGAGCAGGUGCGAAAGCAGGUCAUAGUGAUCCGGUGGUUCUGAAUGGAAGGGCCAUCGCUCAACGGAUAAAAGGUACUCCGGGGAUAACAGGCUGAUACCGCCCAAGAGUUCAUAUCGACGGCGGUGUUUGGCACCUCGAUGUCGGCUCAUCACAUCCUGGGGCUGAAGUAGGUCCCAAGGGUAUGGCUGUUCGCCAUUUAAAGUGGUACGCGAGCUGGGUUUAGAACGUCGUGAGACAGUUCGGUCCCUAUCUGCCGUGGGCGCUGGAGAACUGAGGGGGGCUGCUCCUAGUACGAGAGGACCGGAGUGGACGCAUCACUGGUGUUCGGGUUGUCAUGCCAAUGGCACUGCCCGGUAGCUAAAUGCGGAAGAGAUAAGUGCUGAAAGCAUCUAAGCACGAAACUUGCCCCGAGAUGAGUUCUCCCUGACUCCUUGAGAGUCCUGAAGGAACGUUGAAGACGACGACGUUGAUAGGCCGGGUGUGUAAGCGCAGCGAUGCGUUGAGCUAACCGGUACUAAUGAACCGUGAGGCUUAACCUU
rnacentral:rRNA from 1 species